GAUGAUUCUGUUAUCAGACAUAACAAUGCUAGGUGUGGAGUUCACACAUCUAUGCAUGGCCGUCUUGCAAUAGAACAAGGGUCCAUUCCUUAUUCUGGCCCAUCACCCCAAUCCCGUUUUCCUCAAUCCUUCACGCCCUCUUCCUCCACCCCUUCUGAUGGAAGAGGGCCAAGCACACCCUUCCAUGAAAGGCAAGAGCCAAGUCAAGAACGUCUAGACCCCAAGGCAAGAGCAUCUAGACCAUCCAAGACCAAGCUAGGAGCGUCCAAGACCAAGCUAGGAGCAUCUAAAGAUCAAGCUAGGAGCGUCUACGACCAAGCUAGGAGCGUCUAAGACCAAGCUAGGAGCAUCUAAGACCAAGCUAGGAGCAUCUAAGAUCAAGCUAGGAGCGUCUAAGACCAAGCCAAGAGCGUCUAGAACAAGAAGACUUGGAUCAAGCUAUGAAUGGAAAAAGGCCUAAUAGCACAUAUUCCGUGAAGGCCCAUCAAGUGUAGUUUAGCUUUAAAUGAGGUGUAAAUAGCAUAACCAUGUGAACAAUUGUUUAAUUUUCUGCACAUUAGAAUUAAGGAAGCAUUAACCUUGAUUAGCUAAAGGUUUCUAGAAGCAUUUACUAAUAAAGGACCAUGUGCACCCAUGUGCCAUGUGCACCCAUGUGCUUCACAUUCACAUUUCAUUUGGCUUACAUUUGUGUAGCAUUUAGGUCAUCAAAUCUGGUCCUCCUUAGCCUAUAAAAGGAGGAGCCAA
rnacentral:lncRNA from 1 species